rnacentral:tRNA from 1 species
GCCCCCGUAGCUCAGUGGAUAGAGCGACGGAUUCCUAAUCCGCAGGUCGUAGGUUCGAUUCCUACCGGGGGUACCA